rnacentral:misc_RNA from 1 species
UUCUAGUAUGCGACUUGACGUGAUUAUUAGUAAUGCACAUCAUAUUUCUAGACAGAAGGCGAAACAAUUGGUUACUGCGGGACUAGUAAAAGUCAACUGGAAAACAGUGGAAAACCCGGAUUUUGAAUGUGAAGAAGAAGAUGUAUUGUCUGCUCGCGGAUAUGGUCGGGUAAAAGUACUAUCAACUGGCGGCAGAACGAAAAAAGAUAAAAUUAGGAUUGAAAUUGGCUAUUUAAAAUAAAAACGAAAGCAGUUGCUGCUUUCGUUUCAGAUAUAGUAAUGAGUAGUACCUAAUGUCAUAUGUUGUCAAAUGGUCUUAUGUUAUUAUUAAAUAUGAAAAGAGAGUCAUGCGCUAAGAUGACUCUCAAGUAUAAGCCCAUUUAAGGUGGCAGCUAGCUUAAU